rnacentral:rRNA from 1 species
CUCUUAGCGUAUAUUUAAGUUGUUGCAGUUAAAAAGCUCGUAGUUGGAUUUCGGGUGUGGGGCGCCGGUCCGCUUCGGUGUGCACUGGCGGCCCAGGCCUUCUUGUCGGGGACGCGCUCUGGCUUUCACUAGUCGGACGCGGAGUCGGCGCAGUUACUUUGAAAAAAUUAGAGUGUUCAAAGCAGGCUUUCGCUUGAAUACAUUAGCAUGGAAUAACAUGAUAGGACUCCGAUCCCAUUGUGUUGGUCUUCGGGACUGGAGUAAUGAUUAAGAGGGACAGUUGGGGGCAUUCGUAUUUCAUUGUCAGAGGUGAAAUUCUUGGAUUUAUGAAAGACGAACUUCUGCGAAAGCAUUUGCCAAGGAUGUUUUCAUUAAUCAAGAACGAAAGUUGGGGGCUCGAAGAUGAUUAGAUACCAUCGUAGUCUCAACCAUAAACGAUGCCGACUAGGGAUUGGCGGAUGUUACUUGAUGACUUCGCCAGCACCUUGUGAGAAAUCAAAGUCUUUGGGUUCCGGGGGGAGUAUGGUCGCAAGGCUGAAACUUAAAGGAAUUGACGGAAGGGCACCACCAUGGCGUGGAGCCUGCGGCUUAAUUUGACUCAACACG